rnacentral:rRNA from 1 species
UACGUAGGGUGCGAGCGUUGUCCGGAAUUAUUGGGCGUAAAGAGCUCGUAGGCGGCCUGUCGCGUCGGAUGUGAAAGCCCGGGGCUUAACCCCGGGUCUGCAUUCGAUACGGGCAGGCUAGAGUGUGGUAGGGGAGAUCGGAAUUCCUGGUGUAGCGGUGAAAUGCGCAGAUAUCAGGAGGAACACCUGCGGCGAAGGCGGGUUGCUGGGCUGACACUGACGCUGAGGCGCGAAAGCUAGGGGAGCGAACGGG